rnacentral:rRNA from 1 species
UACGUAGGGGGCAAGCGUUAUCCGGAUUUACUGGGUGUAAAGGGAGCGUAGGCGGUUAUGCAAGUCAGAAGUGAAAGCCCAAAGCUCAACUUCGGGACUGCUUUUGAAACUGUGUAACUAGAGUGCAGGAGGGGUAAGCGGAAUUCCUAGUGUAGCGGUGAAAUGCGUAGAUAUUAGGAGGAACACCGGCGGCGAAGGCGGCUUACUGGACUGUAACUGACGUUGAGGCUCGAAAGCGUGGGGAGCAAACAGG